rnacentral:piRNA from 1 species
UCCUGACGGGUGAUCUUUGGCAGCCAGC